rnacentral:tRNA from 1 species
UGAGUUAUAGUUCAAUCGGUAGAACGAACCAUCAUUUGAAAUUCCUCCCAAGAAAAUCGAGUCGGCUCACUUAGUAUUAAGUUGGAGACCUGUGUUUAAUUGCUUUCGAAGGCACGAUUAAAACGGCGCAACGAUAUUAAGGUGAUCCGAAUAAGAUGGUUGAUGUAGGUUCAACUCCUACUAACUCGA